rnacentral:rRNA from 1 species
GAUCCUGGCUCAGGAUGAACGUUAGCUACAGGCUUAACACAUGCAAGUCGCGGGGCAGCAUUUCCUUAGCUUGCUAAGGAAGAUGGCGACCGGCGCACGGGUGAGUAACGCGUAUCCAACCUUCCCAUGUCCACGGGAUAGCCCGUCGAAAAGGCGGAUUAAUACCGUAUGAGGUCACAUGCGGGCAUCUAAUUGUGACGAAAGGUUUUUGCGGACAUGGAUGGGGAUGCGUCCGAUUAGCUUGUUGGCGGGGUAACGGCCCACCAAGGCGACGAUCGGUAGGGGCUCUGAGAGGAAGGUCCCCCACAUUGGAACUGAGACACGGUCCAAACUCCUACGGGAGGCAGCAGUGAGGAAUAUUGGUCAAUGGGCGAGAGCCUGAACCAGCCAAGUAGCGUGCAGGAUGACGGCCCUAUGGGUUGUAAACUGCUUUUAUGUGGGAAUAAAGUCAGGGACGUGUCCCUGUUUGCAUGUACCACAGGAAUAAGGACCGGCUAAUUCCGUG